CGCCAUUUUCUGUGUUUCUUUGUUUUAUAAAUGCGGGACUCGAUGACGUUUUUAUUAAUUUCAAAAGUGGAGAAUGAAAUUUAAAGCUUGUUAAAAUAGUUAAGUGACGUGCAUCAACCACCUGCUGGCAGAACUGGAAUUUCACAAGCACAUUGCACAAAAAAUUGCCCAGAAAAAGAUAAUGGGGAGGGCAUUAAAACAUGUCGCGGCAUGCAAAUGAGAGACUA